GGAAGCGAGAGGGCAAAGGCGGGGAGGAGUUCGUCAAAAUGAUUUAAAUUGCUGUGUUUGGACAGUGGCGUGCUGGUUUUUUCUUUGUUUUUCAUUGUCGCCAACAACAGGCGUUUCUUGAGACCUCACAAGCGCCCACUAUGGCAGGAGCGGAAGCAGUUUGGAACCUGUGUCUCUUUUGAUUCAGGAAUUUAAGAUCCAAAACAGUCGGCUUUUAAAAAGGGGGAAAAGAGUGGAGGUGGGAUAGGAGCAUCGAAAGAAACCAGUAGAGAAGAGUGUGGCCCAGAUGCAGCAGAUAGACUCCUACAAUCACCUCUAACUCCCAUGCCCGCCAUCCAAAGCUUGGGAUAAAGAGCCAUUGGAUCUGAAGGGGGCAAAUGGAUGUACGAGAGACAUGUCGACAACAACCUGUGGGUACUAACGAUGGGGGUCCAGAUAAGACAGUGAAGCCCUGAUGUACAAAUUACUUAAGGAGCAGAUGAGGAGAAUGGGUCCUCUGAUUAGAAUUUAAAUUAUUGGUCUUCCCUGGUGGCACAGUGGUUAAGAAUCCACCUGCCAAUGCAGGGGACACAGGUUCGAGCCCUGGUGCGGGAAGUUCCCACAAGCCACAGAGCAGCUAAGCCCAUGCACCACAACUACUGAGCCUGCACUCUAGAGCCCGCGAACCACAACUACUGAGCCCGUGUGCCACAACUACUGAAGUCCACGCACCUAGAGCCCGUGCGCUGCAACAAGAGAAGCCACCUCAAUGAGAAGCCUGCGCACCACAAUGAAGCGUAGCCCCUGCUCACAACUAGAGAAAGCCCGCGCGCAGCAAUGAAGACCCAA